rnacentral:rRNA from 1 species
AGAGUUUGAUCAUGGCUCAGAUUGAACGCUGGCGGCAGGCCUAACACAUGCAAGUCGAACGGUAACAGGAAGAAGCUUGCUUCUUUGCUGACGAGUGGCGGACGGGUGAGUAAUGUCUGGGAAACUGCCUGAUGGAGGGGGAUAACUACUGGAAACGGUAGCUAAUACCGCAUAACGUCGCAAGACCAAAGAGGGGGACCUUCGGGCCUCUUGCCAUCGGAUGUGCCCAGAUGGGAUUAGCUUGUUGGUGGGGUAACGGCUCACCAAGGCGACGAUCCCUAGCUGGUCUGAGAGGAUGACCAGCCACACUGGAACUGAGACACGGUCCAGACUCCUACGGGAGGCAGCAGUGGGGAAUAUUGCACAAUGGGCGCAAGCCUGAUGCAGCCAUGCCGCGUGUAUGAAGAAGGCCUUCGGGUUGUAAAGUACUUUCAGCGGGGAGGAAGGGAGUAAAGUUAAUACCUUUGCUCAUUGACGUUACCCGCAGAAGAAGCACCGGCUAACUCCGUGCCAGCAGCCGCGGUAAUACGGAGGGUGCAAGCGUUAAUCGGAAUUACUGGGCGUAAAGCGCACGCAGGCGGUUUGUUAAGUCAGAUGUGAAAUCCCCGGGCUCAACCUGGGAACUGCAUCUGAUACUGGCAAGCUUGAGUCUCGUAGAGGGGGGUAGAAUUCCAGGUGUAGCGGUGAAAUGCGUAGAGAUCUGGAGGAAUACCGGUGGCGAAGGCGGCCCCCUGGACGAAGACUGACGCUCAGGUGCGAAAGCGUGGGGAGCAAACAGGAUUAGAUACCCUGGUAGUCCACGCCGUAAACGAUGUCGACUUGGAGGUUGUGCCCUUGAGGCGUGGCUUCCGGAGCUAACGCGUUAAGUCGACCGCCUGGGGAGUACGGCCGCAAGGUUAAAACUCAAAUGAAUUGACGGGGGCCCGCACAAGCGGUGGAGCAUGUGGUUUAAUUCGAUGCAACGCGAAGAACCUUACCUGGUCUUGACAUCCACGGAAGUUUUCAGAGAUGAGAAUGUGCCUUCGGGAACCGUGAGACAGGUGCUGCAUGGCUGUCGUCAGCUCGUGUUGUGAAAUGUUGGGUUAAGUCCCGCAACGAGCGCAACCCUUAUCCUUUGUUGCCAGCGGUCCGGCCGGGAACUCAAAGGAGACUGCCAGUGAUAAACUGGAGGAAGGUGGGGAUGACGUCAAGUCAUCAUGGCCCUUACGACCAGGGCUACACACGUGCUACAAUGGCGCAUACAAAGAGAAGCGACCUCGCGAGAGCAAGCGGACCUCAUAAAGUGCGUCGUAGUCCGGAUUGGAGUCUGCAACUCGACUCCAUGAAGUCGGAAUCGCUAGUAAUCGUGGAUCAGAAUGCCACGGUGAAUACGUUCCCGGGCCUUGUACACACCGCCCGUCACACCAUGGGAGUGGGUUGCAAAAGAAGUAGGUAGCUUAACCUUCGGGAGGGCGUUUACCACUUUGUGAUUCAUGACUGGGGUGAAGUCGUAACAAGGUAACCGUAGGGGAACCUGCGGUUGGAUCACCU